rnacentral:rRNA from 1 species
CAAAUGGUCAUUGCCUUAGUAGCGGCGAGCGAAGCGGCAAGAGCUCAGCUUUGGAAUCGGCGGACGUCGAGUUGUAGAGUGGAGCGCGGCAGCUGGAGCGCCGGACGCGUCCAAGUUUCUUGGAACAGAACAUCGCAGAGGGUGAGAAUCCCGUGGGAUGUGUCCUGGCGGCCCGUGUAGUUGCUGUGCGGCGAGUCGAGUUGUUUGGGAAUGCAGCUCCAAGUGGGUGGUAAACACCAUCUAAGGCUAAAUACCGGCGAGAGACCGAUAGCGAACAAGUACAGUGAUGGAAAGAUGAAAAGCACUUUGAAAAGAGAGUGAAACAGCACGUGAAAUUGUUGAAAGGGAAGGGCUUGCAAUUAGUGCCUCGCAAGAGGACCAGCAUCAGUUACCGGGGGACCACAAGGGCCGGGGAACGUGGCUCGCAUGCGUGCGAGUGUUAUAGCCCCGGGCGAUGGCCGUUUGGUGACUGAGGACCGCGCCGUGAGGCAAGGAUGCUGGGGUAAUGAUUGCCAGCCGCCCGUCUUAACCCCCGGACCA